CCACUCAUACACAUGACCAGAAGCAAAUAUUAUUUUUUAUAUUGACAAGAGAGCCGAGUGACCACUCUAUCAAUGGAAAUACAUGUGCUCAACGAUCAGGUGGGACCAUUCUAGCCAACGAGAGGGCAGAUUUCUCAAUUAUGUUGAAAGCACCAUCAAUCCAGAGAAUGCCAGAAUUUGCUGACAAAUUUUUCCCACGAAGGACCGCUGCUCCACCUUCCCGUUCAUGUGAGCACAUCACAAACAGAUCCUGAGGCAUCAAAGCAUCCCCAAUCCAUCACACUAGCACCACCAUGCUUGACCGUUGGUAUGAUGGUCUUACUGUGGAAUGCAGUGUUUGGUUUUCGCCAGACAUAAUGGGACCCAUCCGUUGUAUAGGAAUUCAUGUCCAGUCCUAAUAGGCUGAAGAUUAUAUCAUAAAUAAAAGUAUUGUGUUGGUCUACCUGGAAACAGAGAGGCAAAUUUC